rnacentral:rRNA from 1 species
UUAAAAAGCUCGUAGUUGAAUUUCGGGGUCAGUAGGUCGGUCGUGCCACUGGUAUGAACUGGUUUUACUGAUUCCUCCCUCUUGAAGAACUGUAAUGCCAUUAAUUUGGUGUUGCAGGGAAUCAGGACUGUUACUUUGAAAAGAUUAGAGUGUUUAAAGCAGGCUUUAGCUUGAAUACAUUAGCAUGGAAUAAUGAAAUAGGACGUUUGAUCCUAUUUUGUUGGUUUCUAGGAUUGACGUAAUGAUUAAUAGGGAUAGUUGGGGG